rnacentral:rRNA from 1 species
GACGAACGCUGGCGGCGUGCUUAACACAUGCAAGUCGAACGGAAAGGCCCUGCUUUUGUGGGGUGCUCGAGUGGCGAACGGGUGAGUAACACGUGAGUAACCUGCCCUUGCCUUUGGGAUAACUUCAGGAAACUGGGGCUAAUACCGGAUAGGAGCUCCUGCUGAAUGGUGGGGGUUGGAAAGUUUCGGCGGUUGGGGAUGGACUCGCGGCUUAUCAGCUUGUUGGUGGGGUAGUGGCUUACCAAGGCUUUGACGGGUAGCCGGCCUGAGAGGGUGACCGGCCACAUUGGGACUGAGAUACGGCCCAGACUCCUACGGGAGGCAGCAGUGGGGAAUAUUGCACGAUGGGCGGAAGCCUGAUGCAGCAACGCCGCGUGCGGGAUGACGGCCUUCGGGUUGUAAACCGCUUUCGCCUGUGACGAAGCGUGAGUGACGGUAAUGGGUAAAGAAGCACCGGCUAACUACGUG